GUCAGUUAAAAGAGCUUCUGAUGUAAAUAAAGCAAAUUUGCAAUAAGAACAUGUCCGCCCUCUAAUCACUUGUUUAUAAAACGGCUGCCCUCUCCUCCACAGCACUAUCUGAUUCAACACUUUCAUGGUUUGUCAAUAUUGAUAACUUAUUUUUAAAUAAAAAAGUGAAGUAUAUAUAUUUUUUUUCAAAAGCCACUGCUUCCCAAGCUCACAUCACAAGAAAAAGUAGCAACUUUUUCUGUUUAUGUUCUUUUUUGUUGAUUCUUUUCUCCACAAUAUCAGAUUUGUGUCAUGAGAUGGUUCAAACAUUACUAGCUCUGCUUGAGCCCCUCAGAGAAAGAUAUGUGUAUACAUACACAUAUAUGUUAGUAAUUUGUGAUUGAUAUUCUUUGCUUAUAGACUUGAUUUUUUUGUUUAAUAUAGUAUUCUGUUUUUAGGAAUCAUACUAAACUGUUUCCUCCCUGUAUGGCUGAUUAUAAGCUAUGACUAGCAAACCAGAUUUUAUUUGCAGUUGUUUGAAACUUCAUUUUUCUUAUAUGACCUGAUUAAUGCACUCUGAACAUGAAUCAGUGUAUCCUGCCCUGUUCUUUGUUUUGAAUACAUCUGUCAUUUUCUGCCUCACAUUAUUUUCCUUGAUUUCAAGUCACUUGCUUCUUAUUUUCAAAUAAAAUAAUUUUUAAGAAUA
rnacentral:lncRNA from 10 species